CGAACGGUCGCGUAACACGUGGGCAACCUGCCCUGAAGUGGGGGAUAACGGGGGGAAACUUCCGCUAAUACCGCAUGUGUAUCGCCUCGGCAUCGGGGAGGAUACAAAGGAUUUAUUCGCUUCAGGAUGGGCCCGCGGCCUAUCAGCUAGUUGGUGGGGUAACGGCCUACCAAGGCGACGACGGGUAGCUGGUCUGAGAGGACGAUCAGCCGGAUUGGGACUGAGAUACGGCCCAG
rnacentral:rRNA from 1 species